GAUGAACGCUGGCGGCGUGCCUAAUACAUGCAAGUCGAGCGAAUGGAUUAAGAGCUUGCUCUUAUGAAGUUAGCGGCGGACGGGUGAGUAACACGUGGGUAACCUGCCCAUAAGACUGGGAUAACUCCGGGAAACCGGGGCUAAUACCGGAUAACAUUUUGAACCGCAUGGUUCGAAAUUGAAGGGCGGCUUCGGCUGUCACUUAUGGAUGGACCCGCGUCGCAUUAGCUAGUUGGUGAGGUAACGGCUCACCAAGGCAACGAUGCGUAGCCGACCUGAGAGGGUGAUCGGCCACACUGGGACGGAGACACGGCCCAGACGCCUACGGGAGGCAGCAGUAGGGAAUCUUCCGCAAUGGACGAAAGUCUGACGGAGCAACGCCGCGUGAGUGAUGAAGGCUUUCGGGUCGUAAAACUCUGUUGUUAGGGAAGAACAAGUGCUAGUUGAAUAAGCUGGCACCUUGACGGUACCUAACCAGGAAGCCACGGCUAACUACGUGCCAGCAGCCGCAGUAA
rnacentral:rRNA from 1 species